CGGUUAAGUUAGAAAGGGCGCACGGUGGAUGCCUUGGCACUAGGAGCCGAUGAAGGACGGGACGAACACCGAUAUGCUUCGGGGAGCUGUAAGCAAGCUUUGAUCCGGAGAUUUCCGAAUGGGGAAACCCACCACUCGUAAUGGAGUGGUAUCCAUAUCUGAAUACAUAGGAUAUGAGAAGGCAGACCCGGGGAACUGAAACAUCUAAGUACCCGGAGGAAGAGAAAGCAAAUGCGAUUCCCUGAGUAGCGGCGAGCGAAACGGGAUCAGCCCAAACCAAGAGGCUUGCCUCUUGGGGUUGUAGGACACUCUGUACGGAGGUACAAAGGAACGAGGUAGAUGAAGAGGUCUGGAAAGGCCCGCCAUAGGAGGUAACAGCCCUGUAGUCAAAACUUCGUUCUCUCCAGAGUGGAUCCUGAGUACGGCGGAACACGUGAAAUUCCGUCGGAAUCCGGGAGGACCAUCUCCCAAGGCUAAAUACUCCCUAGUGACCGAUAGUGAACCAGUACCG
rnacentral:rRNA from 1 species